CCGUGUUUCUCCGAAAAUAAGACCGGGUCUUAUAUUAAUUUUAGUCACAAAAAACACACUAGGGCUUAUUUUCAGGGCAGGGCUUAUUUAUUUACGGUACCGGUAUGUACAGCUCUUUCUCUUUGCACUCAUCUCGUCUGGGGAUCAAAAUACCGUACUGUCUAAUUAAUCCACCCCCUUUAAUUAAUCUAUCCCCCUCUAAUUAAUCCACCCCCUUUAAUUAAUCUAUCCCCCUCUAAUUAAUCCACCCCCUCUAAUUAAUCCACCACCCCUUUAAUUAAUCCACCCCCUCUAAUUAAUCCACCCCCCUCU